GUAAUUAUAAACAUGUAUUUUUCAAUGUGAGACAUCUCAAAAGAGUUUGAAUAAAUUCCACAUACGGUAGUGUAAAGAAGAAAGAAGUACUCGUAUAUUAUAUGAAGAGUUCUUUUGAAUUUUCUUCACCAAAACGACUCAGGUCUUUUGGAUGUACCAAACUUAGAUAUGGUAUGUCUACAAGAGGAAUUUAAAAACUUAUGGUUAGUCGGAGGAUAGCUCUUUUACUCUGAGAGGAUGAAGUUUUUUUUGUUUUAUUUUGGCAACAUGUUCGUAAUUGGUUGGGUGUUUAUUAUGCGGAUCCAUCAACCAAUGUGGAUCACUUCCUUCGGUUUCGUACCUGUUCAGGGCAUGUAAAAUCAAGGUGUUCUUUCAUGUCUUUGAUCUGAUUUGCAAGUUCUUGCGUGAUUUGGAAGGAAAGAAAUUAUAGGAUUUUCAAAGGUAAAGAAAAAUCCCCUUAUCAGCUUUUGGAGAGUAUCAAGCUUAUUUCCUUUUGGUGGUUCAAGGCUAAGUUUGCUGUUUUUUAUUAUAAGUUUAAUGAUUGGUGCAACACCCUUUUUUAUGCUUGUGUGUCGGCUAAUUGUUGUUUUUGUUGUUGAACACUAUGAUGUAAUAUUUCGGUUAUCUUCUCUGGCACACCUUGUGCUAGGGAGAUAAUAUGAUGGGUUUAAUAUAGUAUUUUAUUUUGAUCUUUUAAAAAAAAAAAAAAAAAACUUAAAUAUACACGAACAAUUAAUGGUAAAAUGUAAAUGUUUUCCUAAAAAUAAC
rnacentral:lncRNA from 1 species